AGAUUGAACGCUGGCGGCAUGCCUUACACAUGCAAGUCGAACGGCAGCACGGGAGCAAUCCUGGUGGCGAGUGGCGAACGGGUGAGUAAUAUAUCGGAACGUGCCCAGUCGUGGGGGAUAACGUAGAGAAAUUUACGCUAAUACCGCAUACGAUCCAAGGAUGAAAGCGGGGGACCGUAAGGCCUCGCGCGACUGGAGCGGCUGAUAUCAGAUUAGCUUGUUGGUGAGGUAAAAGCUCACC
rnacentral:rRNA from 1 species